UAACACGUAUGCAAUCCACCUGUAACAGGGGGAUAACCCGGAGAAAUCCGGACUAAUACCCCAUAAUAUGGGUUCUCCGCAUGGAGGGUCCAUUAAAGAGAGCAAUUUUGGUUCCAGACGAGCAUGCGCUCCAUUAGCCAGUUGGCGGGGUAACGGCCCACCAAAGCGACGAUGGAUAGGGGUUCUGAGAGGAAGGUCCCCCACAUUGGAACUGAGACACGGUCCAAACUCCUACGGGAGGCAGCAGUGAGGAAUAUUGGUCAAUGGUCGGCAGACUGAACCAGCCAAGUCGCGUGAGGGAAGACGGCCCUACGGGUUGUAAACCUCUUUUGUCGGAGAGUAAAGU
rnacentral:rRNA from 1 species